rnacentral:rRNA from 1 species
CCUACGGGAGGCAGCAGUGGGGAAUAUUGCACAAUGGGGGAAACCCUGAUGCAGCGACGCCGCGUGAGUGAAGAAGUAUUUCGGUAUGUAAAGCUCUAUCAGCAGGGAAGAAGAAAGACGGUACCUGACUAAGAUGCCCCGGCUAACUACGUGCCAGCAGCCGCGGUACUACGCAGGGGGCAAGCGUUAACCGGAUUUCCUGGGUGUAAAGGGAGCGUAGACAGCUGUGCAAGUCUGAGGGGAAAGCCCAGGGCUCAACCCUGGGACUGCUUUGGAAACUGUGGAGCUAGAGUGCUGGAGAGGUAAGUGGAAUUCCUAGUGUAGCGGUGAAAUGCGUAGAUAUUAGGAGGAACACCAGUGGCGAAGGCGGCUUACUGGACAGUAACUGACGUUGAGGCUCGAAAGCGUGGGGAGCAAACAGGAUUAGAUACCCGGGUAGUC